UACGUAGGGUGCGAGCGUUGCCCGGAUUUAUUGGGCGUAAAGGGCGCGUAGGCGGCUCGGCACGUCCGUUGUGAAAUCGCCCGGCUCAACUGGGCGGGGUCAGCGGAUACGGUCGAGCUUGAGCAAGCUAGGGGGCAAUGGAAUUCCCGGUGUAGUGGUGGAAUGCGUAGAUAUCGGGAGGAAUACCGAUGGCGAAGGCAGGUCUCUGGGCUGACACUGACGCUCAUGCACGAAAGCGUGGGGAGCAAACAGG
rnacentral:rRNA from 1 species